rfam:Camelus ferus unplaced genomic scaffold scaffold1891, whole genome shotgun sequence.
GAGGAUAUAGUUCAGUGGGAGAGCACAUGCUUAUCAUAUGAGAAGUCCUGGGUUCAAUCCCCAGUACCUCCA